rnacentral:rRNA from 1 species
UUGUCUCAAAGAUUAAGCCAUGCAUGUCUCAGUACAAGCCAAAUUAAGGUGAAACCGCGAAAGGCUCAUUAAAUCAGUUAUGGUUCCUUAGAUCGUACCCACAUUUACUUGGAUAACUGUGGUAAUUCUAGAGCUAAUACAUGCAAACAGAGUUCCGACCGGAGACGGGAGGAAUGCUUUUAUUAGAACAAAACCAAUCGGCGGCGGGCGCGCUCGCGCGUCCGUUUGCCGCUCAAUUUGGUGACUCUGAAUAACUUUCGGCUGAUCGCACGGUCUCGCACCGGCGACGCAUCUUUCAAAUGUCUGCCUUAUCAACUGUCGAUGGUAGGUUCUGCGCCUACCAUGGUCGUAACGGGUAACGGGGAAUCAGGGUUCGAUUCCGGAGAGGGAGCCUGAGAAACGGCUACCACAUCCAAGGAAGGCAGCAGGCGCGCAAAUUACCCACUCCCGGCACGGGGAGGUAGUGACGAAAAAUAACGAUACGGGACUCAUCCGAGGCCCCGUAAUCGGAAUGAGUACACUUUAAAUCCUUUAACGAGGAUCAAUUGGAGGGCAAGUCUGGUGCCAGCAGCCGCGGUAAUUCCAGCUCCAAUAGCGUA